rnacentral:rRNA from 1 species
GACGAACGCUGGCGGCGUGCCUAAUACAUGCAAGUCGAGCGGACGAAUCGAAAGCUUGCUUUUGAUUCGUUAGCGGCGGACGGGUGAGUAACACGUGGGCAACCUGCCCUGUAGACGGGGAUAACACCGAGAAAUCGGUGCUAAUACCGGAUAACACGAAAUGUCGCAUGACGUUUCGUUGAAAGACGGCGCAAGCUGUCGCUACAGGAUGAGCCCGCGGCGCAUUAGCUAGUUGGUGAGGUAACGGCUCACCAAGGCGACGAUGCGUAGCCGACCUGAGAGGGUGAUCGGCCACACUGGGACUGAGACACGGCCCAGACUCCUACGGGAGGCAGCAGUAGGGAAUCUUCCGCAAUGGACGAAAGUCUGACGGAGCAACGCCGCGUGAGCGAAGAAGGCCUUCGGGUCGUAAAGCUCUGUUGUUAGGGAAGAACAAGUAACGCAGUAACUGGCGUUACCGUGACGGUACCUAACGAGAAAGCCACGGCUAACUACGUG